rnacentral:lncRNA from 1 species
UUUCCAAGCAAACGGCCCCUUAGAGCGACUAAAAGAACUCUCUCAUUAAAAAAAAUAAACUAACCUGCUUGUCCUAAAAAGUUAUUGACUGUAUUUUUCUACUUCUGUCAUCCGGACACAUUGCAGAAUGUGAACUGUCAAUCCUUGUUUAAAGAAGUUCCAAUCUAGUCCUCAAAUGCCACACUGAAACACCCGGCUAAAAAAGCAAGCGUACAUCAUCACUGCACCAUAAAAAUGUGAAAUUUACCACAUAGAACAAACAAUGCAUAUUUCUAAGUUAUCCUCUCGCG